rnacentral:rRNA from 1 species
CUGGCGGCGUGCCUAACACAUGCAAGUCGAGCGAGGAGAUUCCUUCGGGAUGAUCCUAGCGGCGGACGGGUGAGUAACACGUGGGCAACCUGCCUCAUAGAGAGGAAUAGCCUUCCGAAAGGGAGAUUAAUACCUCAUAACAUUGCAGUUUCGCAUGGAACAGCAAUUAAAGGAGCAAUCCACUAUGAGAUGGGCCCGCGGCGCAUUAGCUAGUUGGUGAGGUAACGGCUCACCAAGGCGACGAUGCGUAGCCGACCUGAGAGGGUGAUCGGCCACAUUGGGACUGAGACACGGCCCAGACUCCUACGGGAGGCAGCAGUGGGGAAUAUUGCACAAUGGGGGAAACCCUGAUGCAAGCAACGCCGCGUGAGUGAUGACGGCCUUCGGGUUGUAAAGCUCUGUCUUCAGGGACGAUAAUGACGGUACCUGAGGAGGAAGCCACGGCUAACUACGUGCCAGCCGCAGC